rnacentral:rRNA from 1 species
UACGUAGGGUGCAAGCGUUAUCCGGAAUUAUUGGGCGUAAAGAGCUCGUAGGCGGCCAGUUGCGUCUGCUGUGAAAUCCCGGGGCUCAACCCCGGGCGUGCAGUGGAUACGGGCUGGCUAGAGGCAGGCAGGGGAGAACGGAAUUCCCGGUGUAGCGGUGAAAUGCGCAGAUAUCGGGAGGAACACCGGUGGCGAAGGCGGUUCUCUGGGCCUGUACUGACGCUGAGGAGCGAAAGCGUGGGGAGCGAACAGG